GACGAAGGAUGCAAGCGUUAUCCGGAUUCAUUGGGUUUAAAGGGAGCGUAGGUGGUCUUAUAAGUCAGUGGUGAAAUCUCUGGGCUUAACCCAGAAAUUGCCAUUGAUACUGUAGGACUUGAGUAUAGUUGCCGUUGGCGGAAUAUGACAUGUAGUGGUGAAAUACAUAGAGAUGUCAUAGAACACCGAUUGCGAAGGCAGCUAACGAAACUAUAACUGACACUGAGGCUCGAAAGUGUGGAGAUCAAACAGG
rnacentral:rRNA from 1 species